UACCAGCACCCCGAGUGGUCGGGACGUUUAUUGGGCCUAAAGCAUCCGUAGCCGGUUCUACAAGUCUUCCGUUAAAUCCACCUGCUUAACAGAUGGGCUGCGGAAGAUACUAUAGAGCUAGGAGGCGGGAGAGGCAAGCGGUACUCGAUGGGUAGGGGUAAAAUCCGUUGAUCCAUUGAAGACCACCAGUGGCGAAGGCGGCUUGCCAGAACGCGCUCGACGGUGGGGGAUGAAAGCUGGGGGAGCAAACCGG
rnacentral:rRNA from 1 species